GUAUAGUCUGUCCCUGAAGGCAUUUUAAUGUAAACAUAGCCUAUUCUGAUAAAAGGCAGUGUCUACAUUACAGCCUUAGAACACCUCUAGGUAUACCUAUGGAAAAGCAUUAGAUUGGACGAGAUAGUCAAUUUUGAUGAUCUCAGUCAAGGAGGUGGAGCAGGGGCAGAGCAAGCUGCAACAGACUCAGAUGGUGCGGUAAUAAAGGUGAGUAAAUUCACCUUUUCC